UUAAUUAUUAUAUUUCUCAACACUCACCAGAGGCACACUUUACCGCUCACUCCAAAACAUUUCUUCCGUGCUCGGCAUCUUUUCACCUUCCUCGCUCCGCCGUGCCGGAGAGGGACAGACAGACACUGAGUUUCCAGCUUUCCUCCAAGCGACGUCGUUUCUGGCUCUACGUACACUGCCGCGCUGUUCUUGUUGGCAUAAUUUGCAUUGAAUCGCUCCUCUGGGACUCCUGCCUAAAUGAGUUAUCGCUGUCUGUUUGAGUUUUGUCAUACAGAGGUUUUAUGGAUACAGCCACUGGAUUACUUCUCAUUGUUAUGAAUAUAUGAGUUGCGUACCUGGUCAUUAAAAACGUCUAAAUGCGAUAGCUUAUCUUUAACCAAGGAGAGUAAUUUAUCUCGGGAUCUGCUCUUUUUGACUGUAGUUUCACUAUAUAAGCAUGCCUUCUUGGUGGAGGAAGUCUUCAUCCAAAGAAGUGAAGAAGAAGAAAGCUAAUCGGGAGAGUUUCAUCGAUACCAUAGCAACCAUACACCGUAAACUUAAGAGUUCGUCCGAAGAAAAGUGCAAUGGUAGAUCAGGAGGUUCUCGAAGAAGAUGCAUUGACACCGUUUCAGAAAUGGGUUCUCUAUCUAGGGUGCUGUCACCAGCACCCUCCUCACAAGUAUCACGCUGUCAGAGCUUUGCAGAAAAGCCUCAUGCCCAGCCACUGCCCCUUCCUAGAGUGCAACUUUCUAACAUUGGGUGUACUAACUCUGGCAUCAGUGUGGCAUCAAAACCAGAAUCUGACAGAGAGUCCAACCAAUUGUUCUAUUUGCCUCUUCCAGCACCCGGAUGUGUCUCAAGCAGGGAAGAUCGUACCUAUGCUGAAGGAGAUUUAGCUACUGCUUCCAUAUCCAGUGAUAGUUCUAUUGAUAGUGAUGAUCCGUCUGACUCACGCCUUCUAAGUCCCAUGGGAUCCGACUAUGAAAAUGGAAACAGAACAAAUAUAAACAGUCCUUCCUGUGUAAUACAAAAGGAUCCAUUCCCUAUUGUGUACCAAAAGAACUCCAAAGAAACGUUGAAGCCGGGUCAUCUUUUGUGCAAUAAUCAGAUUCUGUCUACAUCACCAAAAUGGAAACCUUCAAGCACACAUAUGCAGAAUAUACAAAUCCCUUUCCAUGGUACUUUGUCUAGUGCUCCAGACAGCUCAAUGUCGAGUCCUUCUAGGAGUCCAAUUAGAGUGUUCAGUGUUGAGCAAGUUAGGAACUCUAGUUUCUGGGCAGCAAAGACUUAUCCAGAUAUAGCUUCUACCCACUGCUCUAGUCCAGGUUCAGGCCAAAAUUCUGGGCAUAAUUCAGUUGGAGGGGAUAUGUCAGGACAGUUGUUUUGGCAGCACAGUAGGUGUAGUCCUGAAUGUUCUCCAAUACCCAGUCCUAGAAUGACUAGUCCUGGUCCCAACUCCAGAAUACAAAGUGGUGCUGCUACCCCUCUGCAUCCUCGAUCCGGAGGGCCAGCCGCAGAGUCACCUACAAGCCGGCCUGAUGAUGCGAAGCAGAAAAGCCAUCGGUUGCCCCUUCCUCCAAUAACAAUAACUAAGACCUGUCUUUUUUCUCCUUCAUAUUCAGCUACAACAACUCCCACAGUUCCACGUAGCCCUAAUAGGGUAGAACAUCCAACAAGCCCUGGCUCACACUGGAAGAAGGGGCGCCUGCUUGGAAGGGGCACAUUUGGACAUGUAUAUCUUGGUUUUAACAGUGAAAGCGGUGAGAUGUGUGCAAUGAAGGAGGUAACUCUAUUUGCAGAUGAUGCAAAAUCAAAGGAAAGUGCACAGCAGCUGGGCCAAGAAAUUGCUUUGCUAAGUCGCUUGCGACAUCCAAAUAUAGUGCAGUAUUAUGGAUCUGAGACGGUAGAUGACAAGCUUUACAUAUACUUGGAGUAUGUGUCUGGUGGGUCCAUCUAUAAACUGCUUCAAGAGUAUGGUCAGUUUGGUGAAGUAGCCACUCGUAGUUAUACCCAACAAAUCUUGUCAGGGCUUGCAUACUUACAUACCAAAAACACUGUCCACCGUUUGUUCAGGGAUAUCAAGGGAGCAAAUAUAUUAGUAGAUCCAAAUGGUCGGGUGAAAUUAGCAGAUUUUGGGAUGGCAAAGCAUAUAACUGGGCAGUCUUGUCCAUUAUCGUUCAAUGGAAGCCCAUAUUGGAUGGCGCCUGAGGUUAUCAAGAAUUCAAACGGUUGUAAUCUUGCGGUUGAUAUAUGGAGCCUUGGCUGCACUGUUCUUGAGAUGGCCACAACAAAACCACCUUGGAGCCAAUAUGAAGGGGUUGCUGCCAUGUUUAAGAUUGGAAACAGCAAGGAACUUCCUGAAAUUCCUGAUCAUCUGUCAGAGGAUGGGAAGAACUUUAUUAGGCUUUGUUUGCAACGUAACCCACUGCAUCGUCCCACAGCUGCUCAGCUUUUGGAGCAUCCUUUUGUUAGGAAUGUUGCUCCACCGGAAAGAACCAUUUCUAGUGCAGAGCAUUCUAAAGGACAAGCUGCAAUGAGAUCUCAGGCAUUUGGACAUGGGAAAAAUCAUUUGAACUUAGAAUCAGAACGGAUGGGCAUGCAUCAGUCCAGAGGCUCAACAACUGUUUCUGCGUCAAGUGAUGCUUAUUCACCGAAAAAUGUAUCAUGUCCAAUUUCUCCUAUUGGAAGUCCGCUUCUACAUUCUAGAUCACCACAACAUGUCAGCGGAAGGAUGUCCCCCUCUCCCAUAUCUAGCCCUCGUACCACAUCCGGUUCAUCUACGCCUCUCACCAGCUGUUCAAUCCCUUUUCAACACUUGAAGCAGCCAACAACCUACUCACUUGCAGGCACAGGGAUGACCCAGAGAUCUCAAAACUGUGGUUUCCAUACAAAUGGCAACAUGCCAUACCAUGAGCCAAAGCCAGACCUAUCUCAAGGAUUUCCACAAGGCUCUUAUGCUUUCCGGGAUAUAUUUUUAUCUGAUAAUGGUGUACUUGGAAACCAGGUCGGGCAUUCAGUUUCUGGGGACCCCAAGGAGCUAUUUGACGUGCAGUCUGUUUUGGCUGAUCGUGUGUCUCAGCAGCUCUUAAGGGAUCAUAUUAAGUUGAACAUCCAUGGACUGUAGUGCUCGAUCAUUGCAGUGGUACAUGGUAGGUGGUUCAUAUUAAGCUAAACAUCCUUGGACUAGUGCUCGAUCAUAGCAGUGGUAUAUGAUAGGUGCAUGAUCCCUGGCUAGAACAGGGCUUCUAGGAAUCGACAACGUGGACAAAUAUGCAAAUGAGUUUGGAUCUUCUGAUACCCUGAUUGCCAGAAGAGUAACAUGAUAUAAAUGGGUCUCAAUGCUCUGAGUCAUGUUCCAGUGGUAAGCAGUACUCAGCAGAAGAGGGUUCUAAAGCUCUAUUGUGAUGGCCUUUCGAGAUCCAGCAUUUGAUAAUUCCGUGUAAAGCGAACGUUUCUGCUGCUGUAAACAAGUGCACACUUUAGCAUUUGAACCUGACCUUCUCUUUUAAGUUACAGGGAGAAGAAAGGGCGGCUGAGAUGGCACAAAUUAUUGUACAGAGGGUGGGGAUUUGAAUUCGAGUUGAUUUUGUGAAGAUGGUAGUUGAGAUUUGAAAGCUUUCCGGGCCAGUCUGUUCAAUCCCGUAUCAGUUCACGGAGCUCAGUCCGACUCUUAAGAUAUCUUCUGAUGACCUAAUUUAUAGAUGAAGAACGAGACGUUCAGUGGUAUUACUUAUGCUCGGAUAGUUAAUGGUUUAGCUUAAUGAUAACCUGUUAUGGAAGAGAUUUUGGGAGGUCCAAAAUCGCUUAUGGGAAAA